UACAGAGGUGGCAAGUGUUGUUCGGAAUUACUGGGCGUAAAGGGCGCGUAGGCGGCCAUCUAAGUCAGACGUGAAAUCCCCCGGCUUAACCUGGGAACUGCGUCUGAUACUGGAAGGCUUGAGUAUGGGAGAGGGAUGUAGAAUUCCAGGUGUAGCGGUGAAAUGCGUAGAUAUUGGGAAGAACACCUGAGGCGAAGGCGGGUUGCUGGGCCGACACUGACGCUGAGGCGCGAAAGCCAGGGGAGCAAACGGG
rnacentral:rRNA from 1 species